rfam:Petrimonas mucosa isolate ING2-E5A genome assembly, chromosome: I
CAGGACGGGCAGUGAUGCAAGUUCAUGUCUUACAAGAAGUCAGCAGAGGACAUAGUAUUCCGGAGCAGGAACAGCACGGAAGAAGGUC